CUUGUUGGUGGGGUGAUGGCCUACCAAGGCGACGACGGGUAGCCGGCCUGAGAGGGCGACCGGCCACACUGGGACUGAGACACGGCCCAGACUCCUACGGGAGGCAGCAGUGGGGAAUAUUGCGCAAUGGGCGGAAGCCUGACGCAGCGACGCCGCGUGGGGGAUGACGGCCUUCGGGUUGUAAACCUCUUUCGACCUUGACGAAGGCCUCUUGGGGUUGACGGUAGGGGUAGAAGAAGCACCGGCCAACUACGUGCCAGCAGCCGCGGUAAUACGUAGGGUGCGAGCGUUGUCCGGAAUUAUUGGGCGUAAAGAGCUCGUAGGCGGCCUGUCACGUCGGUCGUGAAAACUUGGGGCUUAACCCUGAGCUUGCGGUCGAUACGGGCAUGACUGGAGUUCGGCAGGGGAGACUGGAAUUCCUGGUGUAGCGGUGAAAUGCGCAGAUAUCAGGAGGAACACCGGUGGCGAAGGCGGGUCUCUGGGCCGAUACUGACGCUGAGGAGCGAAAGCGUGGGGAGCGAACAGGAUUAGAUACCCUGGUAGUCCACGCCGUAAACGGUGGGCACUAGGUGUGGGGGCCAUUCCACGGUCUCUGUGCCGCAGCUAACGCAUUAAGUGCCCCGCCUGGGGAGUACGGCCGCAAGGCUAAAACUCAAAGGAAUUGACG
rnacentral:rRNA from 1 species